GUCGAGCGAAUGGAUUAAGAGCUUGCUCUUAUGAAGUUAGCGGCGGACCGGUGAGUAACACGUGGGUAACCUGCCCAUAAGACUGGGAUAACUCCGGGAAACCGGGGCUAAUACCGGAUAACAUUUUGAACUGCAUGGUUCGAAAUUGAAAGGCGGCUUCGGCUGUCACUUAUGGAUGGACCCGCGUCGCAUUAGCUAGUUGGUGAGGUAACGGCUCACCAAGGCAACGAUGCGUAGCCGACCUGAGAGGGUGAUCGGCCACACUGGGACUGAGACACGGCCCAGACUCCUACGGGAGGCAGCAGUAGGGAAUCUUCCGCAAUGGACGAAAGUCUGACGGAGCAACGCCGCGUGAGUGAUGAAGGCUUUCGGGUCGUAAAACUCUGUUGUUAGGGAAGAACAAGUGCUAGUUGAAUAAGCUGGCACCUUGACGGUACCUAACCAGAAAGCCACGGCUAACUACGUGCCAGCAGCCGCGGUAAUACGUAGGUGGCAAGCGUUAUCCGGAAUUAUUGGGCGUAAAGCGCGCGCAGGUGGUUUCUUAAGUCUGAUGUGAAAGCCCACGGCUCAACCGUGGAGGGUCAUUGGAAA
rnacentral:rRNA from 1 species